AGGGCUGUAGCUCAGUGGUAGAGCAUUUGCUUAGCAUGCAGAAGGUCUCAGGUUCAAUCCCCAGUCGUA